UACAGAGGUCCCAAGCGUUGUUCGGAUUCACUGGGCGUAAAGGGUGCGCAGGUGGUCGGGUAAGUCUGACGUGAAAUCCCGCAGCUUAACUGCGGAAUGGCAUUGGAUACUAUUCGGCUAGAGGGUUGGAGGGGGGACUGGAAUUCUCGGUGUAGCAGUGAAAUGCGUAGAUAUCGGGAGGAACACCAAUGGCGAAGGCAGCUCGCUGGGACGGUACUGACGCUGAGACGCGAAAGCGUGGGGAGCAAACAGG
rnacentral:rRNA from 1 species